rnacentral:rRNA from 1 species
GAUGAACGCUGGCGGCGUGCCUAAUACAUGCAAGUCGAGCGAACGGACGAGAAGCUUGCUUCUCUGAUGUUAGCGGCGGACGGGUGAGUAGCACGUGGAUAACCUACCUAUAAGACUGGGAUAACUUCGGGAAACCGGAGCUAAUACCGGAUAAUAUUUUGAACCGCAUGGUUCAAAAGUGAAAGACGGUCUUGCUGUCACUUAUAGAUGGAUCCGCGCUGCAUUAGCUAGUUGGUAAGGUAACGGCUUACCAAGGCAACGAUGCAUAGCCGACCUGAGAGGGUGAUCGGCCACACUGGAACUGAGACACGGUCCAGACUCCUACGGGAGGCAGCAGUAGGGAAUCUUCCGCAAUGGGCGAAAGCCUGACGGAGCAACGCCGCGUGAGUGAUGAAGGUCUUCGGAUCGUAAAGCUCUGUUAUUAGGGAAGAACAUAUGUGUAAGUAACUGUGCACAUCUUGACGGUACCUAAUCAGAAAGCCACGGCUAACUACGUG